rnacentral:rRNA from 1 species
GGGGGGGGGGGGGGGGGGGGGGGGGGCGGGCGGGGCGGGGGGGGGGGCCCGGGCGGGGGGGGGGGAGUGGCGAGCGGGGGAGUAACACGUGAGUAACCGGCCCACAACUUUGGGAUAACGCUCGGAAACUGGUGCGAAUACUGGAUAUGUGCUCCUGCUGCAUGGUGGGGGUUGGAAAGCUCCGGCGGUUGUGGAUGGACUCGCGGCCUAUCAGCUUGGUGGUGGGGUAGUGGCCUACCAAGGCGGCGCCGGGGAGCCGGCCUGAGAGGGUGACCGGCCACAUUGGGACUGAGAUACGGCCCAGACGCCUACGGGAGGCAGCAGUGGGGAAUAUUGCACAAUGGGCGCAAGCCGGAUGCAGCAACGCCGCGGGCGGGAUGACGGGCUUCGGGUUGGAAACCGCUUUCAGCAGGGACGAAGCUUUUUGUGACGGUACCUGCAGAAGAAGCACCGGCUAACUACGUG